rnacentral:lncRNA from 1 species
UCAAUGAAUUUUCACAGCCACUUUCUACCACCGCUACUUCCUCAAAAUUCGUUGCCCCCCAAUAGGUUACAUAUUCAAAAAUAUCGGAAAAUCGAGUGGGGCAGAUAUCAGAUUUUUUUAAAGAGGACGCUUUAGCGUACAAAAUUAAAAUUUAAUUAAUUAAUUAUGUUGCUUGUUUAUAUAAUUAAUAUUUUUAUGGUAAAAUUUAAAAAUUCUUACACUUGUGCAUGGAUCUCAGGCCGUACAUAUCGUCGUGGCGGGCCGCAGUUUGCCCAUCAUUGGUUUAAUACAUUUUGCUCUGGAAUAAUACCAUAUGAUCUGAUACACUACAUUAAAAAUUUAUUUUUCAAUAUAAAUAAACAUUUUUAAAAAUUUCUCAAAAACUAUUUCUCUUAGUUUUUCUGUUUGAAAGGCACUGUGCAUUUUUAUAUUGGUUUCAAACUUUUUUCAAAAAAACCUUAUGAGAGUUUAAGAUAUUGAAUACCAUCAUUUUUCUUGUAAAGUUUUUUAUCAUUACAC